rnacentral:misc_RNA from 1 species
AACCAUAGAAACCUGCGGAGUACCUGCGGAAGGAUCAUUACAGAGUUGCAAAACUCCCUAAGCCAUUGUGAACGUUACCUAAACCGUUGCUUCGGCGGGCGGCCCGGGUCCUUCCCGGCGCCCAUCGGCCCUCGCGGGCGCCCGCCGGAGGUAAACCAAACUAUUGCAUUGUAUGGCCUCUCUGAGUCUUCUGUACUGAAUAAGUCAAAACUUUCAGCAACGGAUCUCAGAUCGGAAGAG